CUGGCUCAGAGUGAACGCUGGCGGCGUGCUUAACACAUGCAAGUCGAACGGUAACAGGUCUUUCGGGAUGCUGACGAGUGGCGAACGGGUGAGUAAAGUAUAGUUAAUUUGCCCCUUGGAGAGGGAUAGCCACUGGAAACGGUGAUUAAUACCUUAUACACCUGCCUAUCAAAAGAUAGGUUGGGAAACGGUUUGUUCUGCCAAGGGAUAAGACUAUAUCCUAUCAGCUAGUUGGUGAGGUAAAGGCUCACCAAGGCAAUGACGGGUAGCUGGUCUGAGAGGAUGGUCAGUCACACUGGAACUGAGACACGGUCCAGACUCCUACGGGAGGCAGCAGUGGGGAAUAUUGCACAAUGGGCGAAAGCCUGAUGCAGCAACGCCGCGUGGAGGAUGACGCAUUUCGGUGUGUAAACUCCUUUUUUAUGGGAAGAUAAUGACGGUACCAUAAGAAUAAGCAUCGGCUAACUCCGUGCCAGCAGCCGCGGUAAUACGGAGGAUGCAAGCGUUACUCGGAAUCACUGGGCGUAAAGCGCGCGCAGGCGGUUGGAUAAGUUGGAAGUGAAAGCCCACAGCUUAACUGUGGAACUGCUCCCAAAACUGUCCAACUAGAGUCUGGGAGGGGAAGAUGGAAUUAGUAGUGUAGGGGUAAAAUCCGUAGAGAUUACUAGGAAUACCANAAGCGAAGGCGAUCUUCUGGAACAGAACUGACGCUGAGGCGCGAAAGCGUGGGGAGCAAACAGGAUUAGAUACCCUGGUAGUCCACGCCCUAAACGAUGAAUGUUAGUCGUUGGAACACUAGUUGUUUCAGUGAUGCAGUUAACACAUUAAACAUUCCGCCUGGGGAGUAC
rnacentral:rRNA from 1 species